rnacentral:rRNA from 1 species
CCUACGGGCGGCUGCAGUGGGGAAUAUUGGACAAUGGGCGAAAGCCUGAUCCAGCCAUGCCGCGUGUGUGAAGAAGGCCUUCGGGUUGUAAAGCACUUUCAGUGGGGAAGAAAGCCUUGGGGCUAAUACCCUCGAGGAAGGACAUCACCCACAGAAGAAGCACCGGCUAACUCCGGGCCAGCAGCCGCGGUAAUACGGAGGGUGCGAGCGUUAAUCGGAAUUACUGGGCGUAAAGCGCGCGUAGGCGGUCUGAUAAGCCGGUUGUGAAAGCCCCGGGCUCAACCUGGGAACGGCAUCCGGAACUGUCAGGCUAGAGUGCAGGAGAGGAAGGUAGAAUUCCCGGUGUAGCGGUGAAAUGCGUAGAGAUCGGGAGGAAUACCAGUGGCGAAGGCGGCCUUCUGGACUGACACUGACGCUGAGGUGCGAAAGCGUGGGUAGCAAACAGGAUUAGAUACCCUAGUAGUC